ACUUUGUAUACCGUAAUAAAGACUAAGUUAUACUUGCUUAGAGUGCUUGAUACUUGAUUUGUAGGAAUAAAAAUGUCAUUAGUGACAUUACAGAAUUAUUUAUAGGGGAGUCUAGAUUGUUUUUAUAAAAAAGUUUAUUCGACGUAUGUCGUUUUUCAACUUAAGUUGCGAGUUAUGGUAAGAAUCGGCCGUAACUACUGUACACAGUGCCUGUGGCAAGGGUCAAACUUGCGCCCCCCAUUUUUUCAUUUAAAGAUAACAAUGCUGAAACUGAAUUAUCUCCAUCAAUAUGAGUCGAUUUUGAAUCUGCUGUACGAUAAUUAUUUAUUUGUAGGUAUAAAUAAAAAAAAUCGUUUAAACAAUUUUCAUUCGUAUUUAAUAAGCA
rnacentral:lncRNA from 1 species